rnacentral:rRNA from 1 species
UACGGAGGGGGUUAGCGUUGUUCGGAAUUACUGGGCGUAAAGCGCGCGUAGGCGGAUUAGAAAGUUGGGGGUGAAAUCCCGGGGCUCAACCUCGGAACUGCCUCCAAAACUGCUAAUCUAGAGUUCGAGAGAGGUGAGUGGAAUUCCGAGUGUAGAGGUGAAAUUCGUAGAUAUUCGGAGGAACACCAGUGGCGAAGGCGGCUCACUGGCUCGAUACUGACGCUGAGGUGCGAAAGUGUGGGGAGCAAACAGG